GUUCACAAACAGUAAAUUGUAUUCAGACUAGAACUUGUAAACAAUGUCAGCUUUAGCCAGUGCAAAUUCAGUAUUAAAUUUGUUGAGAUCGUUAUUAUAUAUAAAUAACACAAAUAACAUAAUUAAUUGUUUCCGUAUUAUAUGAGAUUUAGAAUUGUACAAAUGUAUUCUGUGAUUCUGAUUCUGUUGAUAACUUGAAUUCAAAAAAAGUCAUUAUUGUUAACAAAAAUAAUGUUACUGCUUACUGACACAUGAUACGAGGAUCUCUGGAACAAUGGUGAAUGAUAUCGAUAGGAUGGUGAUCGGAAUUAAUGGCCCAUGUCUGUUGCGAGAUUUUCAUGAUACAAUGAAAAGUAUGAGCACAACUUUCGGCGCAGCAAUAUGAAAAUGUAAAAUCUAAAAAAAUCACAGAAUGAAUCGAUCUUUAAUUUCGGAAAAAAAAAAAAAAAAAAAAAUGGCAAGAUUCGGAAAGGAAAUGAGACGAGCAGCCACAGAAUCAUCUUAUAUCCUCAUCAAGAUUUCACAAGGAAUAAGAAAGUUCUCUCCUGUUCCGGCUUCGAGGGCGGGUUUAUCGUAUGCGAUCCUUGAUACGACGAUAACGAGAACGAGGCCUCAAAGGCAAAACGAGGAAAACAGAGGAAGAUGCUUAAUGGGGUGGAGCAGAGGAACGGGCUCGGAGAGGCGUGGAACAUUUUGAACAAUGAGGAUCAAGCCAUACCAUAGGGAGAGAGAGAAUCGAGUCGAAGUUACUUCGUUGGCUGAAUGACAACACCCGUUCCACCCUUCGACCUUAAAUUUGCUUGGUUAAUAAAGCGGCGCAUUCACCUUGCGAAGAACACGCAAAUUGAGACGUCUCACCUGAAUGGGAACCGCGGGACCAAGCCUCGAUGCCAUUAUCGUGUGGAAUCGAGGAAGGGCGAAGGGUGGUUCAAUUUUACACAAGUGGACUGACGGGAAUUCGAUUUCACAACGGCUCGUCUUCCGCCUUGUCGCGUCAGGACUAUGUUUAGGAAUUGUUAAAAAGGGAAGUUGGCAUUUUUCCCUCUUCUCGUUGCAUUUUGAAGAUCGAGGAGAGAUUCUCGAGAAAAAUGUCGAGUCUAUGAGGAGCUUCUUUGAAUCUUAUGUAUAUGUAUACAGGGUAGUUUACUUAAAAUAGUCUUCUUCUAGACAAAUAAUCUACAAAGAUUUUUUUCUCAAGAUUAUUUUUUCAGAAAUUUGUAAGACUAAUUUUUUGUACCACCAAUAUUUUGUAAGGUUGCAUAAUAAAUAUACAUAUUUUUCUCUCGUA